GAUUAGCUGGGUGGGCCCUAAAUGUCAUCUUGAAUGUCCUCAUAGGAAGAUCUAAGAGGUGGAGGGAGAUCUGCUAUACACAUAGAGAAGGCAGUGUGAAGAUAGAGGCAGAGAUUGGAAUGAUAGCGCUGGCAAGUCAAGGAAUGCAAGCAAUGCUAGCAGCUGCCAGAAGCCAGAAGAGGCAAGGGAUGGAUUCUCUCCAAGAGCCUCAGGAGGAAGCACAGUCAUUGUCGCUUUGAUUUUGGACUUCUGGCUUCUAGAAAGUCAAAAACAUCCAUUCUACUUUAAGGUAUUGAGGCAAAGAACAGAGCCUCGCUCAAGUCAUUGUGCGCCACAGGGUUUCUCUCAGGACACGUGUGUGGGAAUCAAGAAAAACUGAACCAUCUGGUCAAGGAAUCUUGGGAAUUCUGGAAGAGCUGUGCACCCCAGGACAAGAGCUGAAAAUCUUCCUUACAUUUCAUUCUCUUUCAAAUAA
rnacentral:lncRNA from 1 species